rnacentral:snRNA from 1 species
AGCUCUGCGCAGUCGCAGUAUCGUAGCCAAUGAGGUUUAUUUGAGGCACGAUUAUUGCUAAUUGAAAAAUUCCUAAGC